ensembl:lncRNA
UUUUGUGUUUCCCAAGCUUCCCAGGUUGGCGGGAGCAGACGGUGGCUAUCCUCCGACCUGUCGAUGGUCUGGCACAGCUCUGACCCCCUUAGGUGUCGCAUCUUUUCGCUCUUCCGUAGGCUGGAGGGGCGGCGGCUGCAGCCAGUUAUUCCUUUUUUUUUUUUUUUUUGGCGAGAGGAUGCUGCUCAAAGCGAGAGUUUGCGAAAACCUGAUGGACUGCAAGGAGAUCCAACCAGUCCAUUCUGAAGGAGAUCAGCCCUUGGUGUUCUUUGGAAGGAAUGAGGCUAAAGCUGAAACUCCAGUACUUUGGCCACCUCAUGACUCAUUGGAAAAGACUCUGAUGCUGGGAGGGAUUGCGGGGAGGAGAGGAAGGGGACGACAGAGGAUGAGAUGGCUGGAUGGCAUCACCGACUCGAUGGACGUGAGUUUGAACUCCGGGAGAUGGUGAUGGACAGGGAGGCCUGGUGUGCUGCGAUUCAUGGGGUCGCAAAGAGUCGGACACUACUGAGCGACUGAACUGAACUGAACUGAUGGAUGGGAACUCUGCCCACGCCAAAAACCCUUAUCUUUUUGUUUGUUUGGUUACAAAGCACAUUACCUAGAGAGUGUCUACUGAGCCAGGUGGAAGUGGAGGGUGGACAUGAUAUCUAUGUCCCCCUCCCAGGGCCGACUCUGCAGCGCCCUCUGACCAGGCUCCGCCUCCACCGUCUGAGUGCCCUCCGGUCACCUCAGGGACCCUCCUUGGUAAUGCAGAACACAGUUAAUGGUGAAGCUCCGCUUAAUAAGGACUAUAGUCCAGGACACCGCCUCUCAGAUGCCUCUGAGGAGCUAUUCUGAAGAGGUCUUAGUUGCCAUAUGUGGGAUCUAAUUCCCUCACCAAGGAUCAAACCUGGGCCCCCUACAUUGGGAGUGCAGAAUCUUAGCCACUGGACCACCAGGAAAGUCCCUAAACUUUUUGUUUUAAACAGGAAGUAUAUUACUUUUAUAAUCAGAAUUUUUAAAAAAGGAACAGGAGCGGGCUUUGAGAAGGGGCUAGGGAGCAGCUGUGGGGAUCACCCUGAUCGUUUGCAGUCCUGUUGCUGGGGCCAGUUCCUCUUGCCACCUGGACAGGAUUUUUGGUCCACUGUCACACACAAUAAUAUGAAUGAAUCUCAUAAACACUAAUUUGGAUAAAGAAAGUUGGGUAAAGAAAGAAUAUAUCUGUAUGAUUCCCUUUAUUUGAAUUUCAGAACCAGGCAAAACCCAUCUAUGGUGACGGGAGUCUUGGAAGGAUUUGCUCUUGUGUUGAGCAGUCCCAAGUACUGCAUUUCGGACUCUUCUGUUGACCAUGAUGGCUACUCCAUUUCUUCUAAGGGAUUCCUGCCCACAGUAGUAGAUAUAAUGGUCAUCUGAGUUAAAUUCACCCAUUCCGGUCUAUUUUAGUUUGCUGAUUCCUAGAAUGUUGACGUUCACUCUUGCCAUCUCCUGUUUGACCACUUCCAAUUUGCCUUGAUUCAUGGACCUAACAUUCCAGGUUCCUAUGCAAUAUUGCUCUUUACAGCAUCGGACCUUGCUUCUAUCAUCAGUCACAUCCGCAACUGGGUAUUGUUUUUGCUUUGGCUCCAUCCCUUCAUUCUUUCUGGAAUUAUUUCUCCACUGAUCUCCAGUAGCAUAUUGGGCACCUACUGACCUGGGGAGUUCCUCUUUCAGUAUCCUAUCAUUUUGCCUUUUCAUUCUGUUCGUGGGGUUCUCAAGGCAAGAACACUGAAGUGGUUGGCCAUUCCCGUCUCCAGUGAACCACAUUAUGUCAGACCUCUUCACCAUGCCCGCCCAUCUUGGGUGGCCCCACAGGGCAUGGCUUAGUUUCAUUGAGUUAGACAAGGCUGUGGUCCUAGUGUGAUUAGAUUGACUAGUUUUCUGUGAUUAUGGUUUCAGUGUGUCUGCCCUCUGAUGCCCCCUUGCAACACUUACCAUCUUACUUGGGUUUCUCUUAUCUUAGAGGAGGAGUAUCUCCUCACCGCCGCCAUGUUGGGUAGCCCUUCCCGGCCGCCGACCCUGUCCUAUCACUUCAUGCCAAAUACAUGCGGAAACAGUGGAAACAGUGUCAGACUUUAUUUUUGGGGCUCCAAAAUCACUGCAGAUGGUGAUUGCAGCCAUUAAAUUAAAAGACGCUUACUCCUUGGAAGGAAAGUUAUGACCAACCCAGAUAGCAUAUUCAAAAGCAGAGACAUUACUUUGCCAACAAAGGUCCGUCUAGUCAAGGCUAUGGUUUUUCCAGUGGUCAUGUAUGGAUGUGAGAGUUGGACUGUGAAGAAAGCUCAGCACUGAAGAAUUGAUGCUUUUGAACUGUGGUGUUGGAGAAGACUCUUGAGAGUCCCUUGGACUGCAAGGAGAUCCAAGCAGUCCAUUCUAAAGGAGAUCAGUCCUGGGCGUUCUUUAGAAGGAAUGCUGCUAAAGCUGAAACUCCAGUACUUUGGCCACCUCAUGCGAAGAGUUGACUCAUUGGAAAAGACUCCGAUGCUGGGAGGGAUUGGGGGCAGGAGGAGAAGGGGACGACAGAGGAUGAGAUGGCUGGAUGGCAUCACCAACUCAAUGGACGUUUGAGUGAACUCCGGGAGUUGGUGAUGGACAGGGAGGCCUGGUGUGCUGCAGUUCAUGGGGUCACAAAGAGUCGGACAAGACUGAGCGACUGAACUGAACUGAGCAGUCCCAGCAAUAUGGAGCCACUGUGUUGCACAGCUGAAAGUAUCAGGAUGUAUGUCAACUGUACUUCAGUUAACAAACAAAAAAGGACUUGGAGUAGUGAACCCCUACACAAAUGCUUAGCAAUUCUUCAUGGGUGUGACCAUUCUCUUUUCAUGGGUGAUGCUAUGAAUUAAUAAUGAACACUACAAGUACAUCAUAGAUCAGAAUUAAGAAAACUCAGAAAUGAAGACGUGAAACUCCCAAAAGAAUAAGAAAAUAUUGAAAAGUACAUGUAAAUGAAAUUUAAACAGAAACCUGCUAUCAAAUAAUGCCUUGUAAGGAAUGAAACAGUAAGGAGGUAGAGCUUAAACACUGUUUAAAAACACUUCUGGAAAAUAAAUUAAGCAAAAAUUUAUAAAAUAUUUCAUGAGUGUGUUAAAAGUGAAAUAUAAUCAUAAGAGAUCUGAUAUUUGAAAAAUUCAAGGACCUGAAAGAGAAAAAUCAAUAAAAGAUGCAAAGCAAAUAAUAGGCAUUAUUGUCCAAAUUUUUCUGAUAAUUUUAAAAACAACUUUUAAAUUGUCUUUUGAAGAGAACAAUGUGCAUUCACUUGUAAUGACUAAAGGCAGAUGAUAUUCUAAUAAACUUACAGGGCUUUAAAGAAAAAAAUCUUUUGGGCAUCUAGAACAAAAUAGCACGUGACAUAUAAUGGAACAAAAAUCAGAAUUCGAUCAGACUUUUUGGAGAGACAUACUCUGUGCCAGAAAAAAAGUAGAGCAAUGUAUUUGAACUGCUCAAGGAGAGAAAUGAUGAGGCAUGAACUUUCUAGCAGGUAAGUAACUGGGUACCAAAGGCCCUGUCAUUCAAGUCAUCAUGAAGAUCUUGGGAAAUACUGUUCUCAUGAUCAAAGGAAUGAACAGACUUCAGAAAAUAGAAUCCUUAGAAAGACACAUCAGGACAGAAGGUAUAGACUAAAUUCAUAGUCACCUGAUAUAAUGAAGACUGAAUGACGGUGACAUAAGAGAGGGGGUGACCUUGGUGGUGGACACGAGGGUGAAUGCCGGACAGCAAUUCAUUUAGUCCUACCUCUGAUUAAGGUGAUUUUUAUAGGAAAAUAUGUUAAAAGCAACUGGAUAGAUGAAUGUCAUUUAAUAUAGAAAGCUUCCACAGUAUAUAUAAAACAUAUAUCUGAACAUAAUACUAAAGCUAUACAAUAAAAAAAAACUAAGCUGUACUAAAUUAGGUUCUUUAGGAGAUAAGCAGUGAGGCCGACCCUGUUCCUUGUCCAGUUGGAAACCUCCUGACUCUGUUCUGCUUCCUUCCCCUCUGAGGCCCAGGCUGAGGCCCCCAGGUCAAGGCCUUCACAGGUGUCAGGGCAGGACUUGCAACACAAACACGAGGGCUGGAAUCACUGAGGAGGCUCAAAGACAAAUGGAAGAAGGCUCCCUGGGCCGUGUGUGUAGUGAGUGUGCAGGAGCCAGAAGACUCCGCAGGCCGGGGAAGUAGCCUUGGGUCCUGACCUCCCCAGAGGUCAGAUCCACAGGGCACUGGGGUCUCUUUGCUGAAGGUGUUGUCUGUUAGCAGAGAGGGAAUAUGAAUGUCCCGUGGGAGCAACUGAAUUGGUCGUUUGUCUGGGUAGCCUUCAAGUCCCUGGACAGUGAAGCUGGUGCAGAGGAAAGGGGAAGGCCUGAGGCUCUGGGGCAAAGAAGCUGAGCGCCUCUCCCCUGGAACCUGUGAGGAGCAGGGGGUCUGAUGACACAGGGGGGAAGAGUGACCCUGCCCCUCCAGCCCACACUCAAUACCACCAAUCAUGAGAUCUGCCCGGUGGAAAUGACAGAGACACGGGCAGCUCCCUUUACCCCUGAUCAUUCCUUCUAGAUCCCCUGGAGAAGGAAAUGGCAACCCACUCCAGUUUUCUCGCCUGGAGAAUCCCAUGAACAGAGGAGCCUGGUGGGCUACAGUCCAUGGGGUUGCAAAGAGUUGGACACGACUUAGCAACUAAAGGACAACGAUUCUAAGCCCCCAGCAAAGCUUUGCCUGUGCUUUUAAUUUAAAAAAUCAUUAAGCUAUAGUAAUAAAAACAUGGGUUUAUCUCAGUGGUAUAUUGCAACAUGAAAAGUUUACAGAAGACACUGCUUUUUAAAGUGUAAUAAAAAAAGUGGCGUUCAUG